AACCUCGUGGCGCAGUGGUUAGCGCGCCGUUCUUAUAAUGCGGAUGUCGCGAGUUCGAAUCUCGCCGGGGUUA
rnacentral:tRNA from 2 species